CAUUUAGUGCAAGAUAAAUGGUGCUAUAGGAGUAGAGAUUUAAAAUAGUGGAGCGAUUAUAAUGCAUGUUUGCAGAUCCACUUCUGUGACUAG